rnacentral:rRNA from 1 species
AGGGUAGUUUAGCGCACAGUGGGUGCGAUGCUUGGAACUGAUCUUCGCCCUAACAAUUUAUGUCAAUUUUACUCUUGGUGUUACGCUUUUCUUCCUCAUGGUGAGAGACACUUUACUGUGGGGCUAGCGGCUGUCUACUGGGCCAUUUGGAACCGCAGAAAUCAGGCUACUUUUGAAUUCAAGAAAUUGUCAUCUCCUUUUGAGAUUAUCUUCAUGGCUUGCACACAUUUAUCUUACUGGGCAGGUCUGCUGAAAAGCGAAGGACGAGCGGAGCUGGAGCAUGGCGCGACACUUCUGAAGAGGAAUGCUAAGGAGUUGAUGAGCCUCUGCACAACUGCGUACACAGGAACCACCCUGGGAUGA